UCAGUGCUUUCGUUUACUUUGUAACUUUUUACGGAGAAAGAGAGCUUGCUCUCUGGAUCAGUGGCGAACGGGAAAACAACCCGGGAGCAAUCUACCCCUGACUCUGGUAUAACAGACGGAAAAAGCUGCUAAUACCGGAUACGAGUUGCGAAGGCAUCUUCAUCAUCUGGAAAAAAUUUCGGUCAGGGAUUUCCUCGCGGCCUAUCAUCUUGUUGGUGAGGUAAUGGCUCACCAAGGCGUCGACGGGUUGCCGGCCUGAGAGGGUGACCGGCCCCACUGGGACUGAGACACGGCCCAGACUCCUACGGGAGGCAGCAUUGGGGAAUAUUGCACAAUGGGCGAAAGCCUGAUGCUUCAACGCCGCGUGAGGGACGACGGCCUUCUGGUUGUAAACCUCUUUUAGCAAGGAAGAAGCGAAAUUUAUGGUUCUUGCAUAAAAUU
rnacentral:rRNA from 1 species